rnacentral:rRNA from 1 species
CCUACGGGUGGCAGCAGUGGGGGAUAUUGCACAAUGGGGGAAACCCUGAUGCAGCGACGCCGCGUGUGGGAAGACGGUCCUCUGGAUUGUAAACCACUGUCCCCAGGGACGAAGAUGACGGUACCUGGGGAGGAAGCUCCGGCUAACUACGUGCCAGCAGCCGCGGUAAUACGGAGGAUGCGAGCGUUAUCCGGAUUCAUUGGGUUUAAAGGGUGCGCAGGCGGGCCUUUAAGCCGGCGGUGAAAUCGCGGGGCUCAACCCCGCCGAGCCGUCGGAACUGGGGGCCUUGAGUGCGGCGGAGGCAUGCGGAAUGCGCGGUGUAGCGGUGAAAUGCAUAGAUAUCGCGCAGAACCCCGAUUGCGAAGGCAGCGUGCCGUGCCGCCACUGACGCUGAGGCACGAAAGCGCGGGGAUCGAACAGGAUUAGAUACCCGAGUAGUC